GCCUCCAAAGUUGGGUCACUGUGACCUACGAAUGAAACUCGGCUGAGAAGAGCCUCUGCAAAGAAAACCCUCCUGGAGAGUUAACAAAGUACAGAAAGGCCUCAGAAAAUGCUGUUAUGGCUGUCUUUGCCCUUGUAGUGACAUCAUUGGCAUGACAUAAAGAGACUGGCAGAAUUUGCAUCCUUUGAGGACAUGAUAAACAAGUUCUUCACCUGCUGCAUAGAGGCAUCAGUCCUUCAGAUUUUACCAUGUGUUGCCUGGACCUUUGUUACCCCAGCCUGGACACCUGCAGUAAGUUGCACCUACGCUAUAAAAGAACAGGAAAAAUUAGCAAGAUCACAAGGAGAGCAGCGCACAGAUGGAAGAGGAAAUGUUGAAAGUGAACCAGGAACAUCACAUUAGAAACAUCAUAUGCAAUUGGAAGGCAAUCAGCAGACCAGGUUAAUCAGCUAUUCCCAGAUUCCCUCAACUGACAUCUUUUCUGCAAAAAAUGUAGCAGUGUCUUCCAAGAAGAGCAAAACAAAUUUGUCCCACAAGCCAAACAACAGCUGAUGAGCCUGGAUGCUCCAACACUUUGUAGCAGCUUUAUUGGCCCAUCAGCUUCCACCUCUUCCAAAGCAAACCUGCAGUACAGCUGUCCAAGCAGCUGCUAGAGAGGAUCCAUAACGCAUCGGCACUUCUGCAGUAUCCACCUCUGUCCCUAAGUUUGCUGCUUACCUCUCCA